rnacentral:rRNA from 1 species
GACGAACGCUGGCGGCGUGCCUAAUACAUGCAAGUAGAACGCACAGUUUAUACCGUAGCUUGCUACACCAUAGACUGUGAGUUGCGAACGGGUGAGUAACGCGUAGGUAACCUGCCUGGUAGCGGGGGAUAACUAUUGGAAACGAUAGCUAAUACCGCAUAAUAUUAAUUAUUGCAUGAUAAUUGAUUGAAAGAUGCAACUGCAUCACUACCAGAUGGACCUGCGUUGUAUUAGCUAGUAGGUGAGGUAACGGCUCACCUAGGCGACGAUACAUAGCCGACCUGAGAGGGUGAUCGGCCACACUGGGACUGAGACACGGCCCAGACUCCUACGGGAGGCAGCAGUAGGGAAUCUUCGGCAAUGGACGAAAGUCUGACCGAGCAACGCCGCGUGAGUGAAGAAGGUUUUCGGAUCGUAAAGCUCUGUUGUAAGAGAAGAACGGGUGUGAGAGUGGAAAGUUCCCACUGGACGGUAUCUACCAGA